rnacentral:rRNA from 1 species
AAUGCUUAGGAAUCUCCUAUUAGUGGGGGACAACAUUUCGAAAGGAAUGCUAAAUCCGCAUACGUUCCUACGGGAGAAAGCAGGGGAUCUUUCGGACCUUGCGCUAAUAGAUGAGCCUAAGUCGGAUUAGCUAGUUGGUGGGGUAAAGGCCUACCAAGGCGACGAUCUGUAGCGGGUCUGAGGGGAUGAUCCGCCACACUGGGACUGAGACACGGCCCAGACUCCUACGGGAGGAAGCAGUGGGGAAUAUUGGACAAUGGGCGCAAGCCUGAUCCAGCCAUUACGCGUGUGUGAAGGAGGCCUUAUGGUUGUAAAGCACUUUAAGCGAGGAGGAGGCUACUUUAGUUAAUACCUAGAGAUAGUGGACGUUACUCGCAGAAUAAGCACCGGCUAACUCUGUGCCAGCAGCCGCGGUAAUACAGAGGGUGCAAGCGUUAAUCGGAUUUCUGGGCGUAAAGCGCGCG